rnacentral:tRNA from 1 species
AGCUAAAUAGUUUAAAUAAAACAUUAAUUUUGUAAAUUAAAAAUAAAACUUUUUUUUAGCUU